AGUGAACGCUGGCGGCAGGCCUAACACAUGCAAGUCGAGCGGCAGCGCGUCCGACCACCCUCGGGUGGUCGGAUGGCGGCGAGCGGCGGACGGGUGAGGAAUGCAUCGGAAUCUGCCUCGUUGUGGGGGAUAACGUAGGGAAACUUACGCUAAUACCGCAUACGACCUACGGGUGAAAGUGGGGGACCUUCGGGCCUCACGCGAUGAGAUGAGCCGAUGCCGGAUUAGCUAGUUGGCGGGGUAAAGGCCCACCAAGGCGACGAUCCGUAGCUGGUCUGAGAGGAUGAUCAGCCACACUGGAACUGAGACACGGUCCAGACUCCUACGGGAGGCAGCAGUGGGGAAUAUUGGACAAUGGGGGCAACCCUGAUCCAGCCCAUGCCGCGUGUGUGAAGAA
rnacentral:rRNA from 1 species